UUUUAUCCCUUGAGACAAGGCUCAAUGGCUUUUUCUCAAAGCCUCUUUGCCAAGGGGGAGCCAUACAUUACCCUUACAAGUUGUUUUUAUUUAUUUCCUGUUUUUAUCUUCUGCAUAUAGAUUCUGUGCCUUGAAACAUGAAUGUCAUGUCUUAGAUUCCUUGUGUUAACAAGGCAGGAAUGCAGUGCUGUGUUUAACACAGAAAAUGGAAAAGCCUGCUUUAAAGACUCCAGAUCUUCCUGAGACUCCUGCCUUUGAAAAGCCGUUUGUUCCAAGUGUUCCAAGUUACAGACUAUCGAAGGACAAUAAACUAGAGCCAACAGUUUGCUGUUUGUGGCAGGUUUUAUAGCCAUGAGUAGAUAUCAGCCUAUUUGCUGAGAAGCAGGAACUGUUGCUUAGGCUCUUUUUCAGCAAGAAUAGGCUUCCUUACAGUUUGUGCCACAGCACUGCCCUGCAAAAGGCAUAAAUAAAACCUGGGCAGUAACAGAUAUACUCUACAUGCUUUUU